rnacentral:rRNA from 1 species
AUGCUAUUGGAGGAGCCUGCGUCGGAUUAGCUAGUUGGUGGGGUAAAGGCCUACCAAGGCGACGAUCCGUAGCUGGUCUGAGAGGAUGAUCAGCCACACUGGGACUGAGACACGGCCCAG